rnacentral:lncRNA from 1 species
UACAACAUCAAUACCAAUACCUUUUUAUUAUUCUUUUGAAAACACUAUUAAGUAAAAUAAUCAAGGAAAAGAGAGCACCACUAAAUUCAGAGCCAAUACGUUCUUUUCAUACACCUUUGCCUACUGCUCCACUUCUCGAUUGAUGCCAUUAACAUCGGACAGAACUCAUAUUAGGUGGCACAGUAUCAUAAACUAUACAAUUUUCUUGGAAUAAAGUCUCUUAAUCGGUGAGUAACUCUAUUAGCACUCCGACGGAUCCAGUGAAAGUAAAUGUGUUGGAAAGAGGACACAAGCCAGUAAUCAAACCAACCUUAGGGCUAAGUAAAGUAUUCGAUUGUAAAGCAGUAAUCACCUCAAUGCAGUCAAAUUCCACAACUAUAUUAUUGAAACAGCAAGUUUUAAGCCACGAAAGGGCCUCGCGGAUACCCAACACUUUGGCGAUUGCUGCUUGACAUGCUGCCAUUAGCUGCCUCGACAUCCCUAAUGAACACCCCAUGCGAAUCACGAAGCACAGCCCCAUUGCUCGCCCUCAGACCAAUGGCGCUCCAUGUCGCAUCAACGUUACAUUUAAGCACUAGCCGAGGGUCGACUCCAUGCAACAAAAGUGAAACUAGGCUACGACAUAACAACGGGUAACAAACGUUGGUACACCGUUUGUGAAGCUGCCCAAUUAUUGAUAAAAUGCGCAAUAAAGGCAACAAUGAUCUUCCGUAAUUUGAAACGUUAAAUUAGGCUAUUUUGAACACUUUAUGAGUUUGCUCUCAAACAAUUUACGAAUCUUUUCUAUGUUAUUUUAUUUUUAGUUUUUAGUAUUAAUGACUGUUUUUCUUUCAUUUCAAUCCUCUUGAGACCCAAAUAGACAAAAUUUUGCCAUUGGGAGUCUAAUGGUGUAUUUGAAUUUGUGUAGGGACACAUUUAUGGCCAAACCAUGAGGAAAACUGCAACUAAUGUGGGUGUUGUGACACCAACCCUUUAUCACCUCAAGGGAGCAAAACUUCAACCAGAAAUCAACUUGGAGUAGUCUACCACGGAUGUCGCGACACUAAGUGUGCUGUGUCACAACACCGAGCCUGAGGUCUCAACUCCAAGCUUUCGAGGUCGCGGCUCCAUUGCUGAUGGUUGAAGUGAAGGAUCCAGGGCCACUGUUUAGGGUGUUGCGACACCAGAUAGCCUGUGUCGCGACAUUGAGAACCCCCAAAGCCAAGAUUGUACUAUUGUCAAGAGUGUUGCGACACUGAUGUCUGACGAGGUGAAAAAUACUACAAGAGCAAUUUUAUGUCCACCAACUCAAGUCAAUUCAUGCAUUCCAAAGACACUUUUGUCAAAAUAUUAGAGUUAUAACUUGGUGUCUUAAAGGCACACUUGAUGCCAAACAUAAAGGAGUCACAUUUAUCAUCUUUUUAGUUUUCCCUUUUUCUUUUCUUUCACCAUUUUUAGGUUUUGAGUUCUUUCUUUUCUUACCUUAGUUAAUUGGUAGCUGUUAGUUUUUUUAGUUUUACUGUAACUUUAACUUUCUUGCAAUUAGAUACAAAAACUCAUGCUGUUAUUUUGAUUUCUCUUUAAAAGCAUCCAAUAGAUUUAAACUUUG